CGGACAACCUUCUUUGCAACCAUACGACCAACACGAUCAUGCAAGUCGGCAAAAUGAAUACUAAUUUGUUGAUAAAUUGGCAUAAGCUUCUGUUCGCGUUCCAUCAACUUGACCUUUAUAGUUGAAAGGUCAUCAGCACUCAAAUCAUCUCUUUUAAGCUCAUUGCACAAUGAUGCAUAUUUAUGAUCACAGCGUCGCAUCAAAGAAAGCAACUUUUCACGUCUGAAUUUAAUACUGACCAUACCUUCAGGUUCCAAAACA